rnacentral:other from 2 species
AUCCCCCUGCGGUGUACGUGAUGGCACAUAAUUCCUUUGAACCAAUGCGUUCGCUUGGUUGCUAGCAUCUGCUGCGCAGGUGCGUCGCGUCCUCCGGGAUGCGCCCGAAGCGCGAGGCCGGCGACCCCCUGGAAACAGGGUUCAAGCGGAUUACGCCAGAACGACACUCGCGGGGGGAUC